rnacentral:lncRNA from 1 species
UAUAAAUAAAGGUCUCUAAAUCUUGAGAGCAUAACAGACUCUUAGAAUUGGCUGACCUGAAAUGGGAGAUAGGCCUCCCAGAGGCCAGUGGAGAUGGGUGGCUGGGAGGGAUCCUCAUCAUUUCUCUACAUUUUCUUAAUUGAAAACUAAGGAGGUGACAUAAUAGGGGCUCCCUCCCAUGCCACGCAUUUCUAUUGUUUCUGGGUUUCUCUCCCUUUUCCUUUCUUGCCAGCAUGUUGAAAUUUCAAUCCUUGCCUAUUCCAUAACUAUAUAUGCAGGUAUUUCUAAUUUUUUUUAUUCAUUUGUUAUAAUCUAUUUGUCAAGAUAUAUUUCCUAAUCACAAAGUAUUUAACUACUAAUAAUGACACUCAAUUUUACCCUCAUGCACUCCGAAUUGGAUAUUUCCAGUGAUAGGAAGUUAAAACUGAAGCCUUUUGGUAGUAACAUUUUAGAUCGACUAGGUGUACGAAACUGACCUAGCUUAUUCUUACCGAUGUAUAUUACAUGGUUCAUGUAUUCAUUAAACUUGUAAUCUACAUUUUUUUUAAAAACCCUCCCAACGGUUGAAGAGAUAGAAAAAAGAUCUAAAAGACGACAACAACCAAUUUGGAAUCUCAUUUGUUCAAUUCUUGCUUGUUACUUUUGUUGUCAAAUUUGUUGAGAUCUAUGCUUGUUCAACCUUCUUUCCAUGUGGGACUCUAGCAUCUGAAUUUUAAGAGUCAGUGCUAGCUCUAUAUUCUUCCCAUGCCUGUUGAAGUUGUACGGGGCAUGUAUACAUAUGCCCUUGAUCAAGAUAGAUCGUGCUUUGCGCUCAGAUACAAAUACAAGAUAAAACGAAGACUCAUCAUAAAUUAAAUAUUAGGUUGUGAGCUAUAUUAGUUCAGUCACAAAAUCAGUUAAGAACUGUUAGCACAUGAGAGCUACAUAAGAACUCCUUUCUAUUGUAAUCAGGAAUCAGUUUCGUUUCUCUCUAAAACCCAAAAAGAUUUUAGAAAAACACAAACAGUAGAUUUCAUGUUUGUAAAGACUGAGGAUUUGAAUUGUUUAUGGGAUCAUCAGUAUGUAUUUGUGUGUGUAUAAUAUAUAGAUGAAAGGGUGUGUAGAGGAAAAUAUCUGAAAUGUGGACAGAGUUUAAUGGAGACAAUUGGGUGGGGAUUGGAAAGAGGCAUAAGCAUUUGAGGGUCACAUGGUCUGUUUUCCAUCUCAAUCUCAAGAACUUGGUUGUUAUUAAGUCUGUAUGUUUGUUGGAGAACAUGAUGCCCGACAAUACAGGCUUCAGACAUAUCUGUCCAUAGAUUAGCAAUGUUUAGACCACAUCACUCUUGUAAUUAUAUAUUACUUACAUAUGUAUGCAUUACCUGCUAAGUGUCCAAUAAUCAAUCUUUAGACCAAAUUACUGGAUGGAAUAAGACGUAGGGAACGGUGUUUGUACAUGGGGAUACAGUUUGGUCAUUUGCAUGUGGAGAUGAUUUAUGUGAGUAGGAAGACAAACCAUGUUAUGUUUUGAUUUCUCACAAGCUAGUAUCCUUCAAUGGAGCCCAUCUCUGCUCCUCGAGACCGCUCAUUUCAUGCAGCAGGCCAUACUCUUUCAUCUAUAUAUACACAAGAGAUCAGGUUCAUAACCAGCACUCAAGUCUCUCUCCUUGCCAAGCAUCAAAGUCUUCUCUGUUUCCCAAGUCCUCUGAAUUCUUUUUCUUGUUCUAAUUUUCCACUUGAGAAUAUAAAAACCAUGGGAUUCCGGUUGCCAGGAAUUGUUAACUCCAAGAAGGGUCUAAACAAGGCUGCUACUUCAAAGACCUUAGACAUCCCAAAAGGCUAUUUUGCAGUGUAUGUUGGGGAGAGCCAGAAGAAGCGAUUUGUGGUUCCAAUAUCAUACUUGAAUGAACCUUUGUUCUUGGAUUUGCUGAGUCAAGCAGAAGAAGAAUUUGGAUAUGAUCAUCCAAUGGGUGGUAUCACAAUCCCCUGCAGUGAUGAAACCUUCAUUCAUCUCACUUCCCGCUUAAGUGUAUGAAUGAAGGCAAAUGAAGUGAAUCUGGUUCAUAUCCAAAUCAGCCUCAGUUCGAUCAGAAGAACUCGCCAUGUCAAGAUGAAGUAGAGGCUGUGAUUGAUCAUAUGCACAUUUUUCUGUUGCUUAUGAAUCUGGAAGCUUCUUUGAUGGUCAAACUGCUUGUGAGCUGAGCACGAAGUUACAAAAUUUGUGAAGCAGUCGAAUGGCGAUAUCAUGAACUCUCGAAGACUAUUGAGCCCAAAAUCAUAACUCCAAUUUUGAACUGGAUGACAAGAAGAUUUGUCUUUUAAGCCAUGUACAAUUCUUAAUGUUUUGUUCUCUGGGAAACAUGAGAAAAUAUAAUAUAUUUUGAUUCCUCA